UCGCNUCUGCUGUGAAAGGCUGGGGCUUAACCCUGGUUUUGCAGUGGGUACGGGCUAACUAGAGUGCAGUAGGGGAGACUGGAAUUCCUGGUGUAGCGGUGGAAUGCGCAGAUAUCAGGAGGAACACCGAUGGCGAAGGCAGGUCUCUGGGCUGUAACUGACGCUGAGAAGCGAAAGCAUGGGGAGCGAACAGGAUUAGAUACCCUGGUAGUCCAUGCCGUAAACGUUGGGCACUAGGUGUGGGGGACAUUCCACGUUUUCCGCGCCGUAGCUAACGCAUUAAGUGCCCCGCCUGGGGAGUACGGCCGCAAGGCUAAAACUCAAAGAAAUUGACGGGGGCCCGCACAAGCGGCGGAGCAUGCGGAUUAAUUCGAUGCAACGCGGAGAACCUUACCAAGGCUUGACAUAUACUGGACUGCGUCAGAGAUGGCGUUUCCCUUCGGGGCUGGUAUACAGGUGGUGCAUGGUUGUCGUCAGCUCGUGUCGUGAGAUGUUGGGUUAAGUCCCGCAACGAGCGCAACCCUCGUUCUAUGUUGCCAGCACGUGAUGGUGGGGACUCAUAGGAGACUGCCGGGGUCAACUCGGAGGAAGGUGGGGAUGACGUCAAAUCAUCAUGCCCCUUAUGUCUUGGGCUUCACGCAUGCUACAAUGGCCGGUACAGAGGGUUGCGAUACUGUGAGGUGGAGCUAAUCCCUAAAAGCCGGUCUCAGUUCGGAUUGGGGUCUGCAACUCGACCCCAUGAAGUCGGAGUCGCUAGUAAUCGCAGAUCAGCAACGCUGCGGUGAAUACGUUCCCGGGCCUUGUAUACACCGCCCGUCAAGUCACGAAAGUUGGUAACACCCGAA
rnacentral:rRNA from 1 species